UGCAGUCGAACGGGUUUAGACCCGUGGCAGACGGGAUCGUAACACGUGGGUACCUACCCCUUAGUCAGGGAUAUGCCACCGAAAGGUGGAGCAAUACCUGAUAGUCUCUACGGAGUAAAGAUUUAUCGCUAAGGGAGGGGCCUGCGCAGUAUCAGCUUGUUGGUGUGGUAACGGCGCACCAAGGCUAUGACGCUUAGGGGAGCUGAGAGGCUGACCCCCAUCAUUGGAACUGAGACACUGUCCAAACUCCUACGGGAGGCUGCAGUCGAGAAUCUUCCGCAAUGCACGAAAGUGUGACGGAGCGACGCCGCGUGGUGGAUGAAGUCCUUAGGGACGUAAACACCUUUUAUAGGGGAUGAAGAUUUUGACAGUACCCUAUGAAUAAGGGGCUCCUAACUCUGUGCCAGCAGGAGCGGUAAUACAGAGGCCCCAAGCGUUACCCGGAAUCACUGGGCGUAAAGGAUGCGUAGGUGGUUAUAUUAGUCGUUCGUGAAAUCCUUCGGCUCAACCGAAGGAAUGCCGGGCGAAACGGUAUAACUAGAGGACGUAAGAGGUAUGCGGAAUUCACGGUGUAGGGGUAAAAUCCGUUGAUAUCGUGGAGAACACCAUAGGCGAAGGCGGCAUACUGGGACGUUCCUGACACUGAGGCAUGAAAGCGUAGGUAGCGAACGGGAUUAGAUACCCCGGUAGUCUACGCCCUAAACGAUGUUCUCUGGCUUUUGGGAGUAUCGACCCUCUCAGAGGCGAAGCUAACGCGUUAAGAGAACCGCCUGGGUAGUACGGCCGCAAGGCUAAAACUCAAAGGAAUAGACGGGGACUCGCACAAGCGGUGGAUUAUGUGGCUUAAUUCGUAGCUAACCGAAGAACCUUACCAGGGCUUGAACCAAACUGCACGCUCCCAGAAACGGGAGAAGCCUUCGAGGGUGU
rnacentral:rRNA from 1 species